UACAGAGGGGGGCAAGCGUUAUUCGGAAUUAUUGGGGCGUAAAGGGCGCGUAGGCGGCCUGGCAAGUGACGGGGUGAAAGCCCUCGGCUUAACCGAGGAACUGCCUGUCAGACUGUUAGGCUUGAGACCGGGAGAGGUGAGUGGAAUUCCCAGUGUAGCGGUGAAAUGCGUAGAUAUUGGGAGGAACACCAGUGGCGAAGGCGGCUCACUGGACCGGUACUGACGCUGAGGCGCGAAAGCGUGGGGAGCAAACAGG
rnacentral:rRNA from 1 species